UACAGAGGUGGCAAGCGUUGUUCGGAAUUACUGGGCGUAAAGGGCGCGUAGGCGGCCUUCUAAGUCAGACGUGAAAUCCCCCGGCUUAACCUGGGAACUGCGUCUGAUACUGGGAGGCUUGAGUAUGGGAGAGGGAUGUAGAAUUCCAGGUGUAGCGGUGAAAUGCGUAGAUAUCUGGAGGAAUACCGGUGGCGAAGGCGGCAUCCUGGACCAUAACUGACGCUGAGGUGCGAAGGCUAGGGGAGCAAACGGG
rnacentral:rRNA from 1 species